ACUUUUUCUCACUCUUUCUUCCUGUUUCUUCUGUAUCAGUAUUCCAAGGUGCCAGUCCCGUCACACACUGUGUCAAGCUAAAUCUCCCCGAGAACUACGUUAAGGGUACGUGCGUCUGUGGAGUGUUCAGCCACUUGCACGUUAAUUUCAGAAGCAGGCUAUUCAGUUGA